rnacentral:rRNA from 1 species
UGGGGAAUAUUGGGCAAUGGGCGAAAGCCUGAACUAGCAACGCCGCGUGUGCGAAGAAGGCCUUCGGGUUGUAAAGCACUUUUUGAGAGGAUGAGGAAGGACGGUACUCUCAGAAUAAGUCUCGGCUAACUACGUGCCAGCAGCCGCGGUAACACGUAGGAGGCGAACGUUAUCCGGAUUUACUGGGCGUAAAACGCGUGUAGGUGGUUUGGUAAGUAGGGCGUGAAAGCUCCUGGCUCAACUGGGAGAGGCCGUUCUAAACUGCCGAACUAGAGGAUGGUAGAGGGAGGUGGAAUUCCGGGUGUAGCGGUGGAAUGCGCAGAUAUCCGGAGGAACACCAGUGGCGAAAGCGGCCUCCUGGACCAUUCCUGACACUCAGACGCGAAAGCUAGGGUAGCAAACGG